GCCUUUCUUUCAUUUUAUAACGCAAACAUCUUCGAAGAAACGAAGGAUUGUAUUGAGCACGGCGGUGAAGAAUAUUAUAAAGUUCAACAGGCUUGCAGUAUAUGAGGAGGCUUUCAUCAGCUGCAAUUGCCUCUUCUACAGAUAAAUGCACACAACAAUUCUGAUGGCACAUCUCCUCUCCUCAAAUUCCCAGUUAUAAAUUCCCAAGUGGAAAAUUUUGGUCGGAAAGUGAGGGAAUUGCAGCUUCGAAGCGACGACGAGGUCAAGGAGACUUGUCGUCGUUAGGUU
rnacentral:misc_RNA from 1 species